UUCUCUCUGCAUGCUACAGUUCCGAAAUGCCUCACGGAUUCUCCUUUGAAGACCCGUGAUCGCUGCUAGUGAGGGAGGAAUCGGUGGCGGUGAUUGAUGAAGAAGAUGAUUGCUGAUAAAAUGGUAUAUGCGUCAUAGCCAAUUAGACUAAGGAUCCAUUUCCUUAGAAUUUGGAUUUUUCUCUCGGCUUGGGCUGGUUUUAAUGUAGAUUUGUAUUUUUCUUAUGGCUUGGGCUCGU
rnacentral:misc_RNA from 1 species